AAUAAAACAGUCGUGUCUAAAUGAAGACAAGAAAAAUUAAAUAAAUUUAAUAACACUUUAUGAGAUGAUCUAAUCCAUGGCUUGUGUGUUCUUAGUGUUAAAAUCAUCACGUUAUUUUUGUUAUUUUAUAAUAUAUUUCAAAUUUUUAUUUCUUUGGAGAGUAUUUUUUGUAAACAAUGCUCAAAAAAUAAUACGAAGCCUAAUUAAAAAGAAGAAAUAGACAGCUGAUUGACAAGUAAAACGUAAAUAAACAUACAAGACAAGCAAAAAAUAAAAAAUAUUUUAUUUUGAUGUAAUUAUUUAAACACUCAAUAAUACAGCAAAAUGUUUGAUUUUGGAGAUACUUUAGCCUUAUUAAUAGGAUUAUUUAUGAGUGUAAUACUAAUUUUAGCUUGUUUAGGUGCGUAUGCAAGAAAACAAGCACAUUUAGAACCUCUUUAGAUGAUGGGGCUUAAGAAUAAACAAUAAUAAACAAUAAUAUAGUUGUUACGAAUAUAUAUUUUAUUUUGUACCAAUGUAUAUUUAAAUAAAUAAAAAUAUUGUGAACA